GCCUUCGUGGUGUAGUGGUCAGCACGCUCGACGCGUAACCGAGAGGUCCGUGGUUCGAUUCAGGGCGAAGGCG
rfam:Stegodyphus mimosarum contig95889, whole genome shotgun sequence.